UACGGAGGGUGCAAGCGUUACCCGGAAUCACUGGGCGUAAAGGGCGUGUAGGCGGGCUGUUAAGUCUGGGGUGAAAUGCCGCGGCUCAACCGUGGAACUGCCUCAGAUACUGACGGCCUCGAGGAAGGUAGGGGCAUGCGGAACUGUAGGUGGAGCGGUGAAAUGCGUUGAUAUCUACAGGAACUCCGGUGGCGAAAGCGGCGUGCUGGACCUUUUCUGACGCUGAGGCGCGAAAGCUAGGGGAGCAAACGGG
rnacentral:rRNA from 1 species